UGGGGAAUAUUGCACAAUGGGCGCAAGCCUGAUGCAGCGACGCCGCGUGAGGGAUGACGGCCUUCGGGUUGUAAACCUCUUUCAAUAGGGACGAAGCGCAAGUGACGGUACCUAUAGAAGAAGGACCGGCCAACUACGUGCCAGCAGCCGCGGUAAUACGUAGGGUCCGAGCGUCGUCCGGAAUUACUGGGCGUAAAGAGCUCGUAGGUGGUUUGUCGCGUUGUUCGUGAAAACUCACAGCUUAACUGUGGGCGUGCGGGCGAUACGGGCAGACUAGAGUACUGCAGGGGAGACUGGAAUUCCUGGUGUAGCGGUGGAAUGCGCAGAUAUCAGGAGGAACACCGGUGGCGAAGGCGGGUCUCUGGGCAGUAACUGACGCUGAGGAGCGAAAGCGUGGGGAGCGAACAGGAUUAGAUACCCUGGUAGUCCACGCCGUAAACGGUGGGUACUAGGUGUGGGUUUCCUUCCUUGGGAUCCGUGCCGUAGCUAACGCAUUAAGUACCCCGCCUGGGGAGUACGGCCGCAAGGCUAAAACUCAAAUGAAUUGACGGGGUCAUAUCUGUUUCCU
rnacentral:rRNA from 1 species